rnacentral:rRNA from 1 species
UACGUAGGUGACAAGCGUUGUCCGGAUUUACUGGGCGUAAAGAGCGCGCAGGCGGUCGAUCAAGUCGAGUGUGAAAGCCCCCGGCUCAACUGGGGAGGGUCAUUCGAUACUGAUCGACUCGAAGGCAGGAGAGGGUAGUGGAAUUCCCGGUGUAGUGGUGAAAUGCGUAGAUAUCGGGAGGAACACCGGUGGCGAAGGCGGCGACCUGGGUCGACACUGACGCUGAGACGCGAAAGCGUGGGGAGCAAACAGG